rnacentral:tRNA from 2 species
GCGGGAGUGGCGAAAUUGGCAGACGCACUUGGUUUAGGUCCAAGCGGAGCAAUCCGUGGGGGUUCAAGUCCCUUCUCCCGCACCA